rnacentral:rRNA from 1 species
UACAGAGGGGGCAAGCGUUGUUCGGAAUUACUGGGCGUAAAGGGCGCGUAGGCGGCCUUCUAAGUCGAACGUGAAAUCCCCGGGCUCAACCCGGGAACUGCGUCCGAUACUGGAAGGCUUGAAUCCGGGAGAGGGAUGCGGAAUUCCAGGUGUAGCGGUGAAAUGCGUAGAUAUCUGGAGGAACACCGGUGGCGAAGGCGGCAUCCUGGACCGACAUUGACGCUGAUGAGCGAAAGCUAGGGGAGCAAACGGG